AACCACACUCACUAUCCGCCCGGGUACUACGAGCUCAAGCUUAAAACCCAAAGGACUUGGCGGUGCUUAAGAUCCACCUAGAGGAGCCUGUUCUAGAACCGAUAACCCCCGUUUAACCUCACCCUCCCUUGUUCUUACCGCCUAUAUACCGCCGUCGUCAGCUUACCCUGUGAAGGAUUAAUAGUAAGCAAAAUUGGCAUAGCCCAAAACGCCAGGUCGAGGUGUAGCGUAUGAGAGGGGAAGAAAUGGGCUACAUUUCCUACCUCAGGAAAUACGAACAAUAAGUUGAAACACUUGUUAGAAGGAGGAUUUAGCAGUAAAUGAGAAUCAGAGCGUCUCAUUGAAGCAGGCUCUAAAGCACGCACACACCGCCCGUCACUCUCCCCGAGAUAAAAUCACCCCAUACUUAAUCAACUAAGUAAACAUAAGGGGAGGCAAGUCGUAACAUGGUAAGUGUACCGGAAGGUGCACUUGGA
rnacentral:rRNA from 1 species